UUACGACCACAUCAUGAUGGAAGACCGCUUCCCGUACGAACACCGAAUUUAAACAACGUUGAACCUGGUCAUUACCUAGAUGUGCGACCGCUUGGGAAUAUCAGAUGCCGUAAG